UACGGAGGGUGCAAGCGUUAUCCGGAUUCACUGGGUUUAAAGGGUGCGUAGGUGGGUUUGUAAGUCAGUGGAUGAAAUCUCCAAGCUUAACUUGGAAACUGCCAUUGAUACUAUAGAUCUUGAAUUUUCCGGAGGUCAGCGGAAUAUGUCAUGUAGCGGUGAAAUGCUUAGAUAUGACAUAGAACACCGAUUGCGAAGGCAGCUGACUACAGGGAUAUUGACACUAAGGCACGAAAGCGUGGGGAUCAAACAGG
rnacentral:rRNA from 1 species